ACGGGGGAUGCGAGCGUUAUCCGGAUUUAUUGGGUUUAAAGGGCGCGUAGGCGGGACGUCAAGUCAGCGGUAAAAGACUGCAGCUAAACUGUAGCACGCCGUUGAAACUGGCGCCCUGGAGACGAGACGAGGGAGGCGGAACAAGUGAAGUAGCGGUGAAAUGCAUAGAUAUCACUUGGAACCCCGAUAGCGAAGGCAGCUUCCCAGGCUCGGUCUGACGCUGAUGCGCGAGAGCGUGGGUAGCGAACAG
rnacentral:rRNA from 1 species